AUUGAACGCUGGCGGCAGGCCUAACACAUGCAAGUCGAGCGAGCGGCGGACGGGUGAGUAAUGUAUGGGGACUGCCCGAUAGAGGGGGAUAACUACUGGAAACGGUGGCUAAUACCGCAUACUAUCGGAUAACCCAUAUGGGAUUGGCUAGUAGGUGGGGUAAAGGCUCACCUAGGCGACGAUCUAUAGCUGGUCUGAGAGGAUGAUCGGCCACACUGGGACUGAGACACGGCCCAGACUCCUACGGAGGCAGCAGUGGGGAAUCUUCCACAAUGGGCGCAAGCCUGAUGAAGCCAUGCCGCGUGUAUGAGGAAGGUCUUAGGGUUGUAAAGCACUUUCAGUGGGGAGGCGUUACCCGAAGAUAAAGCACCGGCUAACUCCGUGCCAGCAGCCGCGGUAAUAC
rnacentral:rRNA from 1 species